AUUGAACGCUGGCGGCAUGCUUUACACAUGCAAGUCGGACGAGUGGCGGACGGGUGAGUAACGCAUCGGAACGUGCCGAGUGGAGGGGGAUAACUGUUCGAAAGGACAGCUAAUACCGCAUACUAUCCGAUAGGCCGAUGUGUGAUUAGCUGGUUGGUGGGGUAAAGGCACACCAAGGCGACGAUCAGUAGCGGGUCUGAGAGGAUGAUCCGCCACACUGGGACUGAGACACGGCCCAGACUCCUACGGGAGGCAGCAGUGGGGAAUUUUGGACAAUGGGCGCAAGCCUGAUCCAGCCAUGCCGCGUGUCUGAAGAAGGCCUUCGGGUUGUAAAGUACUUUUGUCAGGGAAGCGGUACCUGCAGAAUAAGCACCGGCUAACUCCGUGCCAGCAGCCGCGGUAAUUC
rnacentral:rRNA from 1 species